rnacentral:pre_miRNA from 1 species
AGUGGAAUUGCUGGAUCAUAUGGUAAGUAUAUACUGAACUUUGUAAAAAAACUGCCAAACUCUUUUCCAAAGUGGCUGUACCAUUUCACAUUCCCACCAGCAAU